rnacentral:tRNA from 1 species
CGGGAUGUAGUUCAGCUUGGUAGAACGCUAGUUUCGGGUACUAGAGGCCAUCGGUUCAAAUCCGGUCAUCCCGACCA